CAGGACAGAAGCCCAUGGAAAUGAGGCUCCUUACAAGAAAUCAGUUUUGUUUUCUGUUACUCCAAAGUAGCAAGCCGACUGUUCUGAUUGUCCCAGCUUACAGGCUCUGCUUCCAUCCAACAAGGCAUGAAGUCUGUCAGGCUUCCUGGAAUCUCAUUUAAUUCAGAAGACAUAGAUUUUCAAAAUUGUUCAAAGUAGAGCUGAAUUUUAGUGCUGCCUCUUUUUUUUCUGAACAGGCUUGUCCUGACUGUUCCCUAGCUCUGGAAAGAGUUCUCCAAGGGCUGCAAAUUCUCUUUACAAGUAAUAUCUUAAGGUAAUAGAUAAGCCAGUGCAUAAGGCAAUUCCUGCUUUCCUUUGCUGGAGUGGAAGGACUCUGUCACUAAGCAGUUCUCUGCAGUACAGAUUGACACAAACCCAAACAUUUGGAUCUGUGGAUAAAGGUUGCAUGGGAUCUUGCUCCCGAGAGUAAGCACGGUUUGCC